rnacentral:lncRNA from 1 species
AACUUCUUUAUCCGGAAAGGAUUUAAAGGGAAUUUAAAAAGAACAAAAAGUGUGACAAAGUUAGAAAAGAUUGAUAGAAAGAGAGCAGCAUCAAAUUUAUCUGACCAUGAAUCGUAAGUAUAUGUUGCAUGAUGUGUGAAAACAACACUAUGGUUUCUGAUGCAGGCUUUAUUAACACAAUGCAACUUAUUAUAAUGUUUGUAAAACAAAGUUCUCUCCCUUAGGCUGUAUGGAUCAAUCGUGGCAAAAAAAAAUAAAUUAUGGAACCAAUACACAAAAAUUGUCCAACCUUCAAUUAUUCACAGAAUAUCUACAAAAUUAAAUCAGGUCAAAAUUUGGAGAGUAAAACCAAAAUAGUUUACC